GAUGAACGCUGGCGGCGUGCCUAAUACAUGCAAGUCGAGCGAACAGACGAGGAGCUUGCUCCUUUGACGUUAGCGGCGGACGGGUGAGUAACACGUGGGUAACCUACCUAUAAGACUGGGUUAACUUCAGGAAACCGGAGCUAAUACCGGAUAAUAUUUCGCACCGCAUGGUUCGAUAGUGAAAGAUGGCUUUGCUAUCACUUAUAGCUGGACCUGCGCGGUAUUAGCUAGUUGGUAAGGUAACGGCUUACCAAGGCAACGAGACGUAGCCGACCUGAGAGGGUGGUAGGCGGCACGAGAACGGGACCGGGGUCAAUGGGACUGCGAUAGGCAGCAGAAUGGUACGGGAGGCAGUAGUGGAGAGUAUUGCGGAACGGGGCGGAGCGUGAGACGAAGGUGUUGGGUGCGUGAUAACCUGUUAUGAGGGAAGAACAAACGUGGAAGGAACUGUGGAGGGCGUGACGGUACCUAGUCAGAAAGCCACGGCUAACUACGUG
rnacentral:rRNA from 1 species